ACAUUACAACUAAUCUUUCAAUUACAUCAUGUCCACUAUCCUAUUACAACAUACAUUCAUGCAUAACUGUCCUCUGUACUCUUGCUGACUUUGACUUCUCCUAGCUAUCUCAGAACCUGCAAAACUGGGGUCAAGGGAGUGGGAUGAGCUCUAGAGCCCAGUGAGGAGGAACAGUAAAAACAGUUCAUUAAUUACAUGUUCUCAUGAAAUGCAUCACAUCACAAACAUAUCAUCUCAAGGAUGAACUUGUCACCAAUAGCCCUUCACUGUAUACCUAUAACAAUAUGUCCAACUUGCCAGGGGCGAUUAGGCCUCACCUGGACUUCUCUUACCUGGCUCUAUCACAAGGCCAACUGUGCCAGGGGCGAUUAGGCCUCACCUGGACUUCUCUAUCUGAGUCAGGUCAAACUGUCUAUCUCAUAGUACCAGGAGCGACCUGGACUAUCCAGGGGCGACCUGGUAUGGCUAUCUCAUGCCAUAACUCUGUAUCUGUGCUCUAUCAAGGGCUAAGGAUCACCCAACAUUCAUCCACACAAAUAUCAUCUUAUGCAAUGCAGCAUAUUCGUGGAGUCUAAUGCAAUACAACCUAAUACAUAACAUGGCAUUUUAUGAUGCAUGGAUCAUGCUAGAUUCGUGUCAUUUCGGAAUGUCAAAUAGUACAGUUAGUUCCACUCACCUGUAGCCUCUACUUGGCUAACUCUGGGCUACCUCUAACUCUGAGACAGCUACGACUGCUAAACUCUGCGGUUCCUCGGGUCCAAUCC
rnacentral:lncRNA from 1 species